AGCAACAAAUGCCCUGCUUCCAGGAAAAGCCUCUAAGCCUCAGGUAACAUCAAAUCGUACCCCAAACCGACACAGGUGGUCAGGUAGAGAAUACCAAGGCGCUUGAGAGAACUCGGGUGAAGGAACUAGGCAAAAUGGUGCCGUAACUUCGGGAGAAGGCACGCUGACACGUAGGUGAAGUGGUUUACCCAUGGAGCUGAAGUCAGUCGAAGAUACCAGCUGGCUGCAACUGUUUAUUAAAAACACAGCACUGUGCAAACACGAAAGUGGACGUAUACGGUGUGACGCCUGCCCGGUGCCGGAAGGUUAAUUGAUGGGGUCAGCGCAAGCGAAGCUCCUGAUCGAAGCCCCGGUAAACGGCGGCCGUAACUAUAACGGUCCUAAGGUAGCGAAAUUCCUUGUCGGGUAAGUUCCGACCUGCACGAAUGGCGUAAUGAUGGCCAGGCUGUCUCCACCCGGGACUCAGUGAAAUUGAACUCGCUGUGAAGAUGCAGUGUACCCGCGGCAAGACGGAAAGACCCCGUGAACCUUUACUAUAGCUUGACACUGAACACUGGUCCUUGAUGUGCAGGAUAGGUGGGAGGCUUUGAAGUGUGGACGCCAGUCUGCAUGGAGCCAUCCUUGAAAUACCACCCUUUAAUGGCUGGUGUUCUAACGUGGGCCCGUGAACCGGGUUGCGGACAGUGUCUGGUGGGUAGUUUGACUGGGGCGGUCUCCUCCUAAAGAGUAACGGAGGAGCACGAAGGUUGGCUAAUCCUGGUCGGACAUCAGGAGGUUAGUGCAAUGGCAUAAGCCAGCUUGACUGCGAGCGUGACGGCGCGAGCAGGUGCGAAAGCAGGUCAUAGUGAUCCGGUGGUUCUGAAUGGAAGGGCCAUCGCUCAACGGAUAAAAGGUACUCCGGGGAUAACAGGCUGAUACCGCCCAAGAGUUCAUAUCGACGGCGGUGUUUGGCACCUCGAUGUCGGCUCAUCACAUCCUGGGGCUGAAGUAGGUCCCAAGGGUAUGGCUGUUCGCCAUUUAAAGUGGUACGCGAGCUGGGUUUAGAACGUCGUGAGACAGUUCGGUCCCUAUCUGCCGUGGGCGCUGGAAGAUUGAGGGGGGCUGCUCCUAGUACGAGAGGACCGGAGUGGACGCAUCACUGGUGUUCGGGUUGUCAUGCCAAUGGCACUGCCCGGUAGCUACAUGCGGAAGAGAUAAGUGCUGAAAGCAUCUAAGCACGAAACUUGCCCCGAGAUGAAUCUUCCCUGAGCCUUUAAGGCUCCUGAAGGAACGUUGA
rnacentral:rRNA from 1 species